AGCAUGCGUCCCAUGAAGAAGCCUGGAGCGGAAGGAUCGCAGCGCACCUUUUUCUACUGUCCAAUCACCGUUCCCUCCUCCGCAGCCUCAGCUUUAUCCCAUAGAUACCCCAGCCCCUCGCCUUCCGGGAGGGGGAUUUGAGGUUUGCUCUCCCGUCUUUUCCCUUGGCGGCUCUUGAAUAAGCCCUCUCUCUGCUGCAAACCUGGCGUCUCAGCGCACGUGGGCGACUGUCACUUACUGCGUCUUUGCAGACACGCGCCUCCAUCAACAGGGCUGUGUGGGGCUGGGCUGCUGGGCUACGCCUGGCUCCCGAGCCCGGUGUGCUUCGCGCCAGCUCUGUGGUCUGGGAGAGUCUCAGCCUGCCUCUGCCUCAGUUUGCUCGUCUGUGAAGUGGGGAGAAUGAAGCGUGAGGCUUGAGCGCGGCCGGCGUUGAUCGAGGGCUGCUGGGAGCCGGCUUUCUCAGGCGCUGGGGUGGCCUGAAGCCCCUGCGCUGCCCCCGGAGUCGGAGGGCUUCCGUGUCGGGACGCGGCCUGCAGCCCUGACACGGGCCUCCCCGCGCUGGUCUCCUCGGGCUCAGCAAACACACCUGGUCGGAAGCGAACAACGUCGCCGCAUCUUCCGUGAACUUACGUCGUGCUUCCGCCUCUGCAGGGCAGAUGAGAAAACUGAUGUCCAGAGCUGGGGAAGCUUGCUGAGACCACGCAGAUCCCUCGAGCUGCAAACUUGCCUCCGUACCUGGAUGCCCUGAGCUCCCACGGUCUCCAGCAGCUGUUGUGCUGUGUUUCCCCCAUCAGACGGCGUUUCCUGGAGGGCAGCCAGCACAGGACAGAGUGGCCCGUCAAGGUGCUGGGAAGCAGUAUGCAGGUCACUGAAUUUGGAAAGUUACGGAUCUGGGGUCACUGCAGCCUGUCCCCUCCCAUGUGGAGCCGGAGUGCGUGAAACCGAGCAGGGACAAGCAGAGGUUCGGGAUGGAUGGACAGUGCCGGUGGCACGGGAUUUAAAGUCUGCUCCCUGCAGAUGAGCAAACGGAGGCAAAAACAGGUAGAGUCAGAGCCUCUCAAGAAGUGUCAAGGCACCAAAGAAGAUGGAUAAAGCAGGCGGUGGCCAAAGGCGACUGAGUGGUCUGCACUUCAGGACACCCCGGGUCCUGUGCGGCUGCCCCUGACCUGGGAAACCGAUAUCGUGGUCCUCUUGUCACCUGUCUGUGUGCCUGAGGCCACCCGCCUGGCUUGGAACUGGGAAAGCAGGGCUCGCAAACGUAGGGUCUCAGAGCAUCCCCAACUAACCUCGAAGGCACAGAGCCGAGGCCUGUUCCCGAGCCCCGAGGGAAGCAGCGCGAGAGCCCAGGACUCUUGGGCCCUUGAGGACUGAGUCCAGCCUGGGCUAUGCCCUGACUGCCUGGGUGACCUUGGCCAGAUCACCUCAGGGAGGGACUCUAUCCAUCGAACAACUCAACAGGUGGUCCCCGGCUCCUCCCCCCUCACUGCCUGUACUCAUUCCCCGGCUCCGCUGCCCUCUGGGGCCCCGCCCUGGCUGUUGGGCUCACACGGACGUGCACUUGUGGUUUCUGGGCAGGCCUUGCUUUUCUGGAUAGAAACGAACAGAUGUCCCGUGCUUUCUGCCUUUAAUAGCGUUGUGGAGGCCAUGUGUCUGAGGCACAUCGCAAAGACUCAUCACAGAGCCCGCCCCGGGCUUCUGGUCAGGAGCAGACAAUGAAACCCAAACCCCAGCGUGUUCCAAGCACUGUUAGGGUGAUGUAGCAGGGGGAUAAAAGGUCCGGUAAUCCCCCAUCGAAGGCUUCCUGUGUCCCGGCCGGACCCUGAGGACUCAGGAGGAACCACAGUCAUCUGACAUCCCCCUCCUCAGCCGGUGCGCAGUGGGAUCCUUUGCUGAACUGGGCUCCUGGGGGUCCGUGACUGUGAGCGUGACCAGGUAAGAUUCUCGAGGCAUGGUUCUCACUCCCACUGACCCCUGGGGUCCUGGCUCACCAUCCAGCCUGCAGCGCGCAACGUGCCCACGACACAUCGGAGUGCGGCCACUCGUGUCUGCUCUCCCCAACCCAACACGAGGUGAGGACACCACGGCUGGCUCUGGGUGACCCCUUGCUGGCUCCUCCACCCAGAGGUAGGUCCCCCUUGUCGACCUGGCUGCUGCCUGUGGCUCUAGUGCCUGUUUCACCCUGCAAAUCCUAAGGUGCUGUCCCUGAGGAGGUCUCUGACCUAGGAUGGAGAAUGGCAGGUUGAGGCUCUGCCCAGCUCCAGGUAAGGCCUCCAGGUGUGGGGCUGGUGGUCCGUCUCUUCUCAGGCGCUGGACCCAGAAAUGGUCUCCUCACCAGCCUCCUUGCCUCUCACCUCCCCUCCUGCCCAUUUGUCCUUCACAGGCAGCCUGAAGCAUUGCUCUGAAGCUCAAAGUGAUCACUUCUGUUUCGAGCCCUUCUCUGUCUCCCUCGUUCUCUGGGGUGAAGGCCUCGUGCCUCAGCCUGGUGCUCAGGGCCCUUCGCCAUCCUCGCCUGCCCUUCCAGCUUCCUUUCCUGCCACUUUCCACCUCAAACCCGCCAGCCACAAUACGUCUCCCUGUUCCCAAGAGGCACCAAGGCCUUCACACCUCCAAGCCUUUGCACUCAUGGCAACCUGAAUCUGCGAUACCUCAGAAAACUCCUACUCAUCCUUCAACACCCAGCUCAGAUGAUGGCAUUCCCCCGAGAGAUGCCCUAGCCAUCGUCACUCACGCUGGGGUCAGGGUCCUGUGCUUGCCCACACUGUGCAAUUCCGGUAGGACCCUGACACUCAGCUGACACUGUCCACUCCUUGUGGUGGUCGCCACACACAUAGGGUUCUCUGGGGCCAGACUCUGUUCAUAUCAGCAACACCAACGACCACUACCAUUACUGUUUAUGGGGGGUACUGUGAUAAGGGAGAAAUAAAAUAAUAAUCUCCAGCAUUC